AUUCAUUACAACUAGGAGUUUCUGCUAAUUGUGCUCAUCUCCCAGCCUUUUCUGGGAAGCUUUUCAAAUUAAACUGCUUAUGUGAGCAUCAGGAAACUGGCAGGUCAGAGCUGAAGCUUGAAAAGGAAGACUUCAAAGUGUCACCACAAUAAUUAAAGAAGUUAACAGUCAGAAGUUAUCCAACAUCAAAGGUUACAAGAGCAGAAUGGAUGGGUACUGCUUGGCUGGCCAUCCACAGCAAUGACCAGCAACUUUUAGAAGGAACAAAGGAGGAGAAGACGGG